CGCGUGGGUAAUCUACCCAAGGGUCUGGAAUAACAUCGGGAAACUGGUGCUAAUGCCGGAUAAGACCACGAUGACUUCGGUCGAUGUGGAAAAAGGUGGCCUCUCCUUGGAAGCUACCGCCCAUGGAUGAGCCCGCGUCCCAUUAGCUUGUUGGUGAGGUAACGGCUCACCAAGGCUCCGAUGGGUAGCUGGUCUGAGAGGAUGAUCAGCCACACUGGAACUGAGACACGGUCCAGACUCCUACGGGAGGCAGCAGUCGGGAAUUUUGGGCAAUGGGCGAAAGCCUGACCCAGCAACGCC
rnacentral:rRNA from 1 species